CCUACGGGAGGCAGCAGUGGGGAAUCUUGCGCAAUGGGCGAAAGCCUGACGCAGCGACGCCGCGUGCGGGAAGAAGGCUUUCGGGCUGUAAACCGCUUUCAGCAGGAACGAAAAUGACGGUACCUGCAGAAGAAGGAGCGGCCAACUAUGUGCCAGCAGCCGCGGUGAUACAUAGGCUUCAAGCGUUGCCCGGAUUUAUUGGGCGUAAAGAGUUCGUAGGCGGUCGAGUAAGUCGGGUGUGAAAAUUCUGGGCUCAACCCAGAGCGCCACCCGAUACUGCUUAACUUGAGUUCGAUAGGGGAGUGGGGAAUUCCUAGUGUAGCGGUGAAAUGCGCAGAUAUUAGGAGGAACACCGGUGGCGAAGGCGCCACUCUGGAUCGAUACUGACGCUGAGGAACGAAAGCAUGGGUAGCAAACAGGAUUAGAUACCCUGGUAGUCCAUGCCGUAAACGGUGGGCACUAGGUNUGGGAUUCUAUUAACGAAUUCCGCGCCGUCGCUAACGCAUUAAGUGCCCCGCCUGGGGAGUACGGUCGCAAGCUAAAACUCAAAUGAAUUGACGGCUUGAGAGUUGCGAGCGACGACGAGGGAGAGG
rnacentral:rRNA from 1 species